UGGAUAAUUUCCCGGGUGAAGUGCUCACCGAUAUCCGUGCGCUUGCGGAUCAAUUCCUUAUUGCGUUCCCAAAUAUCAACAAGCAUUUCUGGCGCCGUUGCCGGGGAGAAAGACGGUUGCUGAGAUAACCUGUGUCUUGCUACUAGCUUGUAUCUAUACUUUUAUCUUCUUUAUCUUUUAUAUCCUUUAUUUAUUUUUCUUUAUUCUUACCUUAUGGAAAACCAAAAUUCUAAAUCGAUCCAUGAGUCUGCAAUCCCUUUAGUAACUAACCUUUUACCAUGGGAAUCAUCACAGCCUAUCCAAACACCCCAGUAUAAGUUAAGUUCUAGGUUGAUUGCCAUGAUUCAAAACCUAUCUUUUUC
rnacentral:lncRNA from 1 species